rnacentral:ncRNA from 1 species
AAAUGCAUGAGCCGGUGCCCACCUGAGGCCUGUCGUCCGCUGCCACCUCUCCAUCUCCAUGGUGACCCAGCGGUCGACGCCGAUGGUGGGCUGAGAUUAUACGGCCUUGAACUUGAUCUGGGUAAUACCAGCGAAAGGAUCAUGCAACCUAACAUA